rnacentral:snoRNA from 1 species
CCUUUCUUUGAUACGAACGCGUUCUAUUCACUGCAUCGUUAGACCGGCUAUUAGCUGGACGAUUGAUGAAUGGAGGGGAAAAGAACGCCAGACUAACGCUUUUUUUUCGACAGCGAACCUCAUACUGAGCUAUGUAUUUCAUAUUAAGCAUAUCUUGGUAACUGCGCGGGCGAUACAUCU